GAUUGCGUUGUAGUGUCAUGGGAUUGGCUGUCGCUUGUUCGAUUUUUUUUUCUCUACUCCCCUCCCACGGGGAGCAGCUUCGCUGGGAUUUAGCGAGAGGUCGCGGCGGUACCCAGGCCGAACGAGAUUUGCCCCCGGGGAGGAGUGGAGCAGGGCGCGCAUGCGUAGACGGGUCAAAGCUUCCUCUCCGCCCUUCGCUUCAUGGUCGACCGCAGGGUAUGGCGCGGAAGCCCUAAGUGACGUCAAUUCUCGAUUCCCAUGGUAACCCGGAACCGAGAUGAGAACACGGAGGCACAGAGAGGUUAAGGCCACCAGCCCAAGGUCACACAGUCUACCAGUAUCAUCUACCAGUCCGAGACCCCUGUUUGGUCCGAAGAGGAUUGGAAUUCAGUCCAUGCCACUUUCUGGCUGAGGGCCCUCAGGCUAACUCUUCCCAGUUCUGAGGCAAGUUGGAGCCUUACAGACCCAGGCCAGCCAUCCACCAGCUAGCAACUUAGGAAGUAAGUGAAUCUCUCCAUGGUUCAGUUUCUUUUUCUGCAGAGCACGGACAUGGACGCUGCCUCUACAGGAUACGGUGCUGAUUCAGUGAGAUCAGAGCACUGUGGCUUUGUCUAGGAUACUUCUUGAGCUACAGGGUCAAGAACUACACGCAGAUUUCCGACACAGAUGCCUCCUGAUUUUCUACAAGGCUGCCGUACAAUAAAAAAUAUAUAUAUAACUUGUCUUUGUCCCAAGAUCUGGGCACAGAGCUUCAAAAACCCUUAGGAUUUCCUGAGUGAUAAGACCAUCCUUCCUUAUUCAUAACAAGCCCCUUUGGGUCAUGACUGAGUUUAAGCUAACAGGUGACUCAUUGCCAUCUCUGAGAGCCCUGGGAGAGCUUCAGGAUCGCAGGGUCCAGGGAGCCCCUGCAUCAGGCUCCCUGCUCAGCAGGAGAGUCUGCUUCUCUCCUUCCCUCUGCCUCUUACCCCUGCUCAUGCUCUCUGUUUUCUUUCAUCUAAAUAAAUAAAUCUUUUUUUU